rnacentral:lncRNA from 1 species
UCAAAUAAGCAACAUCUAAAUUCAUGAUGCAGAGACUGAAAAUAUCUUACAACAUUCAAAUAUAUAGAAGGCAUCACCAAUAUUAAAUAUGCAAACUAAGGUUGUGGGAAACAUGAUUACCCACCUCCUCAUCAAGACAUUCAAAUUUCCACACUCUCUCACCCUCUUUGUUUAUUUCAUUUCACCAUCGUAAUCCUAUCAAGAUGUGUCCACUCACAUUCUUGACUACCCAAAAAUCAAGAGCAGCUAGAAGCAUGGUAAAAACAAAAAUAAUGACAAAGAUAUCAAAAAGUAGAGCUGAAAGUAUGUAAAACGCCAAAGCUGCAGCCUGCCAAAUGGAAGAAUUUAAUGUUAUCCACUAGUAAAAUUUGCAUAUAGAAAUAACAUCACAAAAGAAGAUAAUAAAUGACCUUGAAAAGCACGUGGAAGAAACAUAUAUUUGGAAGGGCAUAAUUCUCCCCUACAGGCUGAUAACAGAAAGACAGAAACUUAUGAUGAGCAAUCAAGCAAUGUUACUAUUCAUUUAUUUUUAGUGUGUUUGAGAUGGGUGUUGUGCUUAACCAUGACUUACCUACACUACAAAGAAGAGGUAAGUGCCUAUCAAAGACAGCUCAAAUGAUAAACAAUCACUGAAUAGCUUUUAAUGAAAAUCUACCAAACAAGGUUUACAAAUAAAAAUCUAGAUGUUUUACUCCACACUGCAAAACAGUAACAACAUCCAACUAUAGCUCUGCCUUCAACAUAAAUUUCAUAACAAGAAUACCCAGUUUAAAUCUAGAAUCAACCAAACAAUCUUAAAUUGUGCAGAAAUCGUGAAAGCACGGCAUCCAAUUCAAUCUCUCGAACAACCAUUGAUAUAUAAGCUCCAUGGUAUUAUCAUCACGAAAUUCGAACAACAAAAUCACAACUUUUAGGAAUUGCUUGAAUUUGAGGGAUUGUUUGAAUUAGUCAUUUUUUGUUCUAUUUAUGACAAAAUGGAAAUAUACAUACAAGGAUAGUCACUGAUAAAAUAUGGAUGUAAUAUCAAAGAAACAACAAAUAUAUAUAAAUGUUCCAACAGAAAUGAAAAAGGGGGGAAACUGGCAUCAUCUCAAAACUCUCCCCAGUACAAGCAACUUAACAUCAUCACCAUCAAUGGAAAAGUACAGACAGAUACAGCAGCACAAAAAUAUGAAAGACACGAGCAAAUUGACAACCCAACUUUUUUAUACCCUUGCUCCAUUUCCAUUAUGUCCAUUUGUUCCAUUUACCCCAAUAGACAUCUUUUGAGAAGCAGCAGAUUUCUUCCUCUUCACAGCUAGAUACCAGAUCUGGGACGGCACAAGGAUAUAAUUUGUACUAACUGAACAUUAUUAGAUGUGGGGCAGGAAGUUCUAAAGAUUCAAAGCACAUUUUAAUCAGAAAAAGAUUACAUCUAAUAAAUUGGUUAAAGCAAAAUUUUAAUUAGAAGUUAAAGAAACAAAACAUUAUAAUAAUUUUGAGCACGCAACAUUUUCAAUUGAGUUUGAACCUUAACUUUACUGUAUAUCUACGAUAUUUCCCUAUAACCCAAUAAAUAAAUUGAUAGCUACUGAAUAUACGAAUUAAUGGUAAACAAAUAGCCCAAUUUACAUUUCACACAAUAUUCCCCCGCAAAUCUGAUAACAAUCCAACAAAUAAAAAUCAAUAAAUGAUACCUCUUAGAUGUCUCAAGCGCUGAUUUGGGUCGUUAGGCUAGUGGGCCCGAUGACUGAGGGCUGAUUGAAGGUGGCGGGACAGUAAUAUGGUGGCGGAAGUUGCAACCGAGUAGAAGAAGAGCAAAGUGAGAAGAAGAAAGAAGCGUGGCAAAGAAGGAAAACUUUGGAAGAAAAGAAAAAGUAAAAGAAAAGGUAGGGAAAAU